UGCCUUGACUGUCCUGGAAUUUACUCUGU
rnacentral:piRNA from 1 species